rnacentral:rRNA from 1 species
UUAAGUGACUAAGCGUACACGGUGGAUGCCUUGGGCAGUCAGAGGCGAUGAAGGACGUAUUAACUUGCGAUAAGCCCAGAUUAGGUAGUAAAAACCAUUUGAGUCUGGGAUUUCCGAAUGGGGAAACCCACUUACAUAAGUAAGUAUCGCUGCGUGAAUACAUAGCGCAGCGAGGCGAACCGGGGGAACUGAAACAUCUAAGUACCCCGAGGAAAAGAAAUCAACCGAGAUUCCGAAAGUAGCGGCGAGCGAAAUUGGACUAGCCCUUAAGCUUUUUAUGCGUCAGGUGAAACUUCUGGAAAGUUGUGCGAUACAGGGUGAUAGCCCCGUAACCGGCAACGCAUAUAAAGUGAAAUCGAGUAGGGCGGGACACGUGAUAUCCUGUCUGAAUAUGGGGGGACCAUCCUCCAAGGCUAAAUACUACUGACUGACCGAUAGUGAACCAGUACCGUGAGGGAAAGGCGAAAAGAACCCCUGUGAGGGGAGUGAAAUAGAACCUGAAACCGUGUACGUACAAGCAGUAGGAGCACCUUCGUGGUGUGACUGCGUACCUUUUGUAUAAUGGGUCAGCGACUUAUAUUCAGUGGCAAGGUUAACCAUCUAGGGGAGCCGUAGCGAAAGCGAGUGUUAACUGCGCGACUCAGUCGCUGGAUAUAGACCCGAAACCAGGUGAUCUAGCCAUGGGCAGGUUGAAGAUUGAGUAACAUCAAUUGGAGGACCGAACCGACUAAUGUUGAAAAAUUAGCGGAUGACUUGUGGCUAGGGGUGAAAGGCCAAUCAAACCUGGAGAUAGCUGGUUCUCCCCGAAAGCUAUUUAGGUAGCGCCUCGGACGAAUACUACUGGGGGUAGAGCACUGUUAAGGCUAGGGGGUCAUCCCGACUUACCAACCCUUUGCAAACUCCGAAUACCAGUAAGUACUAUCCGGGAGACACACGGCGGGUGCUAACGUCCGUCGUGGAGAGGGAAACAACCCAGACCGCCAGCUAAGGUCCCAAAUUACUACUAAGUGGGAAACGAUGUGGGAAGGCUCAGACAGCCAGGAUGUUGGCUUAGAAGCAGCCAUCAUUUAAAGAAAGCGUAAUAGCUCACUGGUCGAGUCGGCCUGCGCGGAAGAUGUAACGGGGCUAAGUAGUAAACCGAAGCUGCGGCAAUGCACUUUGUGCAUUGGGUAGGGGAGCGUUCUGUAAGCGGUUGAAGGUGUGUGGUAACGCAUGCUGGACGUAUCAGAAGUGCGAAUGCUGACAUGAGUAACGAUAAAGGGGGUGAAAAACCUCCUCGCCGGAAGACCAAGGGUUCCUGUCCAACGUUAAUCGGGGCAGGGUAAGUCGACCCCUAAGGCGAGGCCGAAAGGCGUAGUCGAUGGGAAACGGGUUAAUAUUCCCGUACUUCUUACAAUUGCGAUGGGGGGACGGAGAAGGCUAGGUGGGCCUGGCGACGGUUGUCCAGGUUCAAGUGCGUAGGCUGA